UACGUAGGGUGCGAGCGUUGUCCGGAAUUAUUGGGCGUAAAGGGCUCGUAGGCGGUUUGUCGCGUCGGGAGUGAAAACUCAGGGCUUAACCCUGAGCCUGCUUUCGAUACGGGCAGACUAGAGGUAUGCAGGGGAGAAUGGAAUUCCUGGUGUAGCGGUGAAAUGCGCAGAUAUCAGGAGGAACACCGAUGGCGAAGGCAGGUCUCUGGGCCACUACUGACGCUGAGAAGCGAAAGCAUGGGGAGCGAACAGG
rnacentral:rRNA from 1 species